UCUGGGAUAACACCUCUCUUCA
rnacentral:miRNA from 1 species